GCUGACGGUCCUGUCCGUCUCUGUUCCUCAGGACUAAAGCCUGUCGUUACUUCGACCAGGGUCGGGGCACCUGCCCGUUUGGCUCCAACUGCUUCUACAAACACGCCUUCCCUGACGGACGGCUGGAGGAGCCCAGAGGAGACCAGCAGGGUGCAACGGCAGGAACAGGAACUCGAGGAGGACACCCCUGUGGGACCUGUUUGAAGAGCGGGAGAACAGCAGCGACUCUUUGGACAACGAGGACGAGGAGAUGGUGACCUUUGAACUGAGCGAGAUGCUCCUCAUGCUCCUCGCCGCGGGAACCGACGACGACGUCACUGACUCGGAGGACGAAUGGGACUUGUUUCACGAAGAGCUGGACGAUAUCUACGAGAUUUACCUAUAGCACCACUCCCUAACGUUAACGUUGAAAACCCCUUUAUCGUUUUUGACUACUCCUCUUCACCUUUACCGCGCUGUAGAAUGGACUGUCUUGUGUGUUUGGACAGUAGCUUCUCUCCUCUGUGUUGUGGCAGUGUCUUUGGGGCAGGCCUUUUGGGGCAGGCCUUUGGGGCAGGCCUUUGGGGCAGGCCUUUUGGGGCAGGCCUUUUGGGGCAGGCCUUUUGGGGCAGGCCUUUUGAGGCAGGCCUUUUGAGGCAGGCCUUUUGAGGCAGGCCUUUUGGGGCAGGCCUUUUGAGGCAGGCCUUUUGGGGCAGGCCUUUUGAGGCAGGCCUUUUGAGGCAGGCCUUUUGGGGCAGGCCUUUCAUUCAGAAAUCAACUACAUGAAGAAGAAGGAAAAAUAAUUAACAGAUGAAAAAAACUAAUGUAAAUGAGAAACAGGUGGGUGUAAAACCAUUUUUCUAGAAACAUCCUGUCCUUGUGAAUUUAUCUAUCCGUGUCAGGUUCAUGUAAAAAAAUAAAAAAAUAACAACAUAAAAAAAAACAAGGGGAAAAAAUUACAAACAUUUUUGAAAAUAUCGCUAAUAAACAAUGUUUAUUUGUGGACGUGGGUUUGACUUACCGUUUUUACCCAGGUGAUGUUUUUAAGACUUUUUUUUUUUGUUGUUUUUGUUUUGAGGAUGAUGCACCAAAACCAACUCUACACAACUAUACUUCCUGGUGAUGAUGUCAUGUCUGUGGUGGUCAUGGGUAUUGUAGUCCUCUGGUCAUGCACUGAGUAUAUUGGGUGGAGGGAGACAGCAGUCCUGUCGACUUCCUAUAUUCACAUGUACCCUCUUGAUUCACUCUCUUUCCCUCCUCCCUCUCCUGUGGGUGGUGGGAACUCCCUCUGUCAGGGAGGGAGGGGGGAGGGGGGGGGGACUUCGGGGAACAACUUACAAUAUCUAAAGUUGUUCGUUUUAAAUGGGCCCAAGUCCACUUUCAUUUUACCCCCCCCCCCCCUCCCCGAUCGAAUUGCAGCUAUUAUUCAGGAACACCUGUGGUACCUAAUGACAAGUCUCUCCUCAGAACCGAGCUGAUAGUGACACUCGAUGACUCUGUGUCCCUAGUGGCGCCAUAUUGUGACGAUAUACUGAGUGGACAAAACAUUAGGAACACCUUCCCAAUAUUGUUGAACCUCAUUUAUUCGGGGGGGGGGGGGGGGGGAGAAUGAGCUCUACCAGGUCUGAUCCUUAUAGCGUAGGGCUCUAGUGAACUACCAGUGGUCUAGAGAGGGUGCCAUUUGGAACACAGUCCGGUCUGGUCACUACUACUUCUCUUUGAACUCCCAUUAGAAUGCACUAUAUAUUAUGAUUUCUUAUUGUUUUUCUAUGGUCCACAACCAUCCAUCAUGACUUGAAAUUAAAGUUUAUUAUCAAAGUUAGCAGGGUUGCUUUACUGAGUGGAAUUCAUUAUUGAUCAUUAAACGUGUGCUCUGAUAUUAUG